AGAGAGAGACAUGCGCGCAUAUCAAUAAGCGGAGGAAAAGAAACUAACAAGGAUUCCCCUAGUAACGGCGAGUGAAGCGGGAAGAGCUCAAAUUUGAAAUCUUAAAGGUUUUCCCUUGACGAAUUGUAGUUUAAAGAAGUGUUUUCUGUUGAAGGUUUCGGUAAAAGUUCUUUGGAAUAGGACAUCAUAGAGGGUGAGAAUCCCGUAUUUGACCGUUACUUUUCAGCUGUGUGAUACACUUUCAAAGAGUCGGAUUGUUUGGGAAUGCAGUCCAAAAUGGGUGGUAAAUUUCAUCUAAAGCUAAAUAUUGGCGAGAGACCGAUAGCGAACAAGUACCGUGAGGGAAAGAUGAAAAGAACUUUGAAAAGAGAGUUAAACAGUACGUGAAAUUGUCAAAAGGGAAAGCGUUUGACACCAGUGUUGUUUUUCUGAAAAUCAAUUAAAGAACUGUUUAUGCUAAGUUGUUUAGACUUUAUCAGCUAACUGUUUAGUUUUGAGCUUUUCUUUAAUGCACUUUUCAGUUAACAAGUCAACAUCAAUUUCUUUUGCUGUAAAAAAGCUUGAGGAAGGUGGCUUGAGAUUCGUCUUAAGUGUUUAUAGCCUCUUGCCUAUGCAGUCGGAGAGAUUGAGGUCUGCAGCGUAGAUCCUUCGGGGCUAAAUGCAUUUGUGCUAAGUUAUAGCAUUUUAUAGACAACUUGUUGACUAUGAUUUGUCUUGUAGCUUACUCGCUUAUGUUAUUUUACCUACGCUUAGGAUGUUGAGCGCAUGUCUCUCUCU
rnacentral:rRNA from 1 species